ACAAAAACAUGUCUCUUUGUCUUUUUUAUAUAAAGAGUUGGGCCUGCCCAGUGAUUUAUUUUAACGGCUGCGGUAUUUUAACUGUGCGAAGGUAGCAUAAUCAUUUGCUUUAUAAUUGAAGGCUAGUAUGAAGGGUUUGACGAGAGUAAUGCUGUCUUAAUUAAAUUUUUUAGAAUUUAACUUUUAAGUGAAAAGGCUUAAAUUUAAUUAAUAGACAAGAAGACCCUAUCGAGCUUUAAAAUAUUGUAAAUUUAUAUAACAUAAUUGAUAUAAAUUAAAUUUUAUUGAAUUUUUUAGUUGGGGUGACUAAGGAACAAUAAAAGCUUCUUUUAAAUUUUAAUUUAAUUGUGAUUUUUGAUCCAAUAUAUAUAUUGAUGUUAGAUUUAGUUACCGUAGGGAUAACAGCAUAAUUUUUUUUUAGAGUUCUUAUCAAAAAAAAGGAUUGUGACCUCGAUGUUGGAUUAAAAUUUCCUGGGGGUGUAGAAGCUUUUAAAUUUAUUGGGUUGGUCUGUUCGACCAUUAAAAUUUUACAUGAGCUGAG
rnacentral:rRNA from 1 species